UGAAUGGUAGCAGCCCCUGUGCUGGGAGAGUGGAGGUUUACCAUCAGGGAGAGUGGGUGACAGUGUGUGAUUAUCAGUGGGACAUGAGUGAUGCUGGAGUGGUGUGCAGACAGCUGGGCUGUGGAGAUGCUGUAGAUGCACGAGGAGAGGGUCACUUUGGACCAGGGUCUGGGAGAAUAUGGAUGGGUGUUGUGUACUGCAGUGGAUCAGAAUCCUCACUGAAGCAGUGUGAGUCACCAGGAUGGGGCAAACAUUACUGUAAUCAUGAAGAGGAUGUUGGAGUGACCUGCUCAGAGUUUCACUGUAAUCAUGGAGCGGAUGUUGGAGUGAUCUGCUCAGAGACACCCCGGGCUGUCUUGACGGUCUCUCCACAUGGGCGGAUAUAUAGAGGACAAGCUGUCAGUCUCUCUUGUGAGGUCACAGUGCCCUCUGCUGGCUGGGAAUAUUACUGGUACAAAGGAGAUGGAUCAAGUGGCACUGCCCUCAUUGCCAGUACAGCUGAAGGCUCGUACACCCUCAGUGCUGCAGCUCUUGCACACACCGGGGAGUACAGCUGCAGAGCAGGGAGGAGCAACCCAGUCUGGUACACAGAGUACAGUCACCCUGUCCACAUA